UCAUGGUACUAGCGGUAUACCAUGAGGAUGUCAUCAUCAUCCAUUUUACAAGGGAUCAUCGUCUCCCACGAUGAUGAGAGACUUACCACUAGCAAUACUAUCAGUAUCUGAUCUGGAGCCACUUGCCGAUCCUGCUCCAUUUCUACUAUGACAAUCUCUUUUUAAGUGCCCCGAUUGUCCACACCCCCAGCAGACUCCUUUCUUCUUAGAUUUAUCUUUCUGCCAAUUCCCUACAACUGCCAAAGCCGAGACAUCUAUAGUUUUAGUACUUUCACCACCCAGUCUCCUUUCUUCUGAGAGUAAAGUACUAGUAACUUCUUCAAGAUCUAUUGUCUCCUUCCCAUACAUCAAAGUAGGUAACAAGUGUUUGUAGGAAGUUGGAAGUGACCAUAGUAACCUAAGCGCCUUGUCCUCAUCUUCAAUUUUAACUCCAAUGGCUUCUAGUUCUGACACAAUACCAUUGAGAACACUGAGGUGAUCAGAAAUUUUUGUACCUUCAGCCAUUCGCAGUGUGUGAAAUCGCUCCUUCAGGUACAAUCGAUUUGAGAUGCUCUUUGUCUGAUACAACUUUUCUAUCUUCUCCCAAAGUUCUUUUGCUGUAGGAAUUUUUCCUACAUUUGCAAGAACAUUCUUUGCUAAACACAGUCGUAUGUCACUUGCAGCUCUAUCAUCUAAUUCUUCCCAAUCGUCAUCACUUAUACUAACUUUUCCAAAGCCACUACUGGAAGCAGGGGAUGGCUUCCCUUUCAAUGCCUUGUGUAACCCAGAUUGAAUCAAUACAUCUUUGACUUGAACUUGCCACAAGCCAAAGUUAAUUCUCCCAUCGAAUUUUUCUAUUUCAAAUUUCACCGGACUUGAAAAUUUCAAUCCUGACAUAUUUGCUUUGCAGAUCAACUUUUACUCUUCACCACGGACUGUUUGGAUUGGCUCCCACUGCUUCACGUGAAUAGUACCUUAUACGUAAAUAGUACCUUAUACGUAAAUAGUACCGUAUACGUGAACAGUACCGUAUACGUGAACAGUGCCUCGACACCAAAACUUUAAUCAAUGGCUCUGAUACUACUGUUAGGAAAUUGAGUUUCCUCCCAAGAUCUCUCCAAGCAAUUUAUCAAGCAACAAAUUAAUAAGAAAAAUUAAAUGGAGAAUAUACCAAUCACACAACACAAGAUUUACGUGGAAAACUUUAAAUCCGGAGAAAAACCACGGCCGUUGUCAAAAAGACAAACAGAAAAAAAAUAUUCACUAUGUGAAAAAUUAUUACAACCACUCUCUUAGAAAUAAUUUUCUCUCACCUAAUUCUCAAAUACACCCCAAAGAAGCAUUCUCUGAAUGAAGAAGAGAAACCGAUGAUUGGAUACAAAAAACCAAAAAUGGGGAGCUUCCUUAUAUAGCCAAAAUUGGCUAUUACAAAAUUGGCUAUUAUUUUAAUAUUUUCUUUAUUCUUCUCGUGGCCUCUUCAAAGCCGUGUUCCAACCUUUUUCUUUCUUCCAUUUUGGCGUUCCAACCAUCAUUUGUCAAGAUCAACUUCUGCAACAUCUUCUUCAUUCUUCCUUCUUUUUCUUCCUUGGCGGUGCCUAACCCUUCAACAUUUGCUGCAUCAACGCUUCUAGAUGUAGCUUUUAGAAGCUGCAGCCAAAUACUUUGACAUUCUCCCACUUGGAGUUUUGAUUGAGAAUCAAUCAAUCUCCACACUAACCUUACUAUUUUCACCUUAGUCAUAAUCUUCACCAUAGAGAAUUAUUAUACUCCACCAUAAAAAGUAUACCAUUUAGAAUUAAUUACCAAUUCUAAGAAUUUUACAUCGGCACAUGUCGAAAUAUUCUGCUGAAAUUUAUGGUGCAACUUCCAUGUUGGCUUUCCUAGAAAUUCAUCAGCAAUCGACAUAAAUUCCACCACACACCCUGCAUCAAUGUCAACCAUGCCUUGUGUGUAAAUCUUGUGGACUUGCUAGUAGUAAAACAUUCCCUUUCAUGGUACUAGCGGUAUACCAUGAGGAUGUCAUCAUCAUCCAUUUUACAAGGGAUCAUCGUCUCCCACGAUGAUGAGAGACUUACCACUAGCAAUACUAUCAGUAUUUGAUCUAGAGCCACUUGCUAAUCCUGCUCCAUUUCUACUAUGACAAUCUCUUUUUAAGUGCCCCAAUUGUCCACACCCCCAACAGACUCCUUUCUUCUUAGAUUUAUCUUUCUGCCAAUUCCCUACAACUGCCAAAGCCGAGACAUCUGUAGUUUUAGUACUUUCACCACACAGUCUUCUUUCUUCUGAGAGUAAAGUACUAGUAACUUCUUCAAGAUCUAUUGUCUCCUUCCCAUACAUCAAAGUAGGUAACAAGUGUUUGUAGGAAGUUGGAAGUGACCAUAGUAACCUAAGCGCCUUGUCCUCAUCUUCAAUUUUAACUCCAAUGGCUUCUAGUUCUGACACAAUACCAUUGAGAACACUGAGGUGAUCGGAAAUUUUUGUACCUUCAGCCAUUCGCAGUGUGUGAAAUCGCUCCUUCAGGUACAAUCGAUUUGAGAUGCUCUUUGUCUGAUACAACUUUUCUAGCUUCUCCCAAAGUUCUUUCGCUGUAGGAAUUUUUCCUACAUUUGCAAGAACAUUCUUUGCUAAACACAGUCGUAUGUCACUUGCAGCUCUAUCAUCUAAUUCUUCCCAAUCUUCAUCACUUAUACUAGCUUUUCCAGAGCCACUACUGGAAGCAGGGGAUGGCUUCCCCUUCAAUGCCUUGUGUAACCCAGAUUGAAUCAACACAUCUUUGACUUGAACUUGCCACAAGCCAAAGUUAAUUCUCCCAUCGAAUUUUUCUAUUUCAAAUUUCACCGGACUUGAAAAUUUCAAUCCUGACAUAUUUGCUUUGCAGAUAAGCUUUUACUCUUCACCACGGACUGUUUGGA
rnacentral:lncRNA from 1 species